AAUUUGAUGUAGUUGUCGUUGCCUGGGGAAGAGCAGGAUACGGUACGGCUUCACUGUUUGAUAGGAUGUAAAUAAAAACUCGGGACACCUUCAGAGAUUUUACUUAAGCACUUUUUCAAACAAUACCUGCCAGGGAAGAGCCAGGAAUGGAGUAAUGAAACCUCGGGUUUAUUCUUGAAUUGAUUUCUUAUUGUUAUUGUGAUUCUUGGUUUGUUAAUUAAAUUUUACAGUAAAAUAUUCCUAGCUAUUUUCAUCAUGACGCAGCGUAAAUGAGUCUGCCUUUAAUUUAAAAAUGCAGACCCUUUGUUUGCUAGGUCUGGUAAUCAGCUGCACAUUAAACGCAACACUCCUCCUCACAAGACCUCCGGCAGUCACGUGACAGUGCUGGGGACUAGGAGGAGGAGUUUUUUUCGUUUUGUUUUUCAGUCUGUGAUGAAAUUUGGUACGGGCAUUCAUUAGGGAGGUAACCAGAUCUUUUGUCAUCUUUGUCAUUGUAUGAGUGUUGGCCUCUGAUUAGCUGGGCUAAUGAAGGCUAUAGAACCAUUGGCCCAGAUUUGAUUAAACGUUACAUGGACAUUUGUUGCAAUAAGUUUAUCUUUGCAUGGGCAUUUAUUUUGAUAUAUUCUGCACGCUCUGAAAGUGGUCGUGGUGACCUAUUCACUGAUAAUUGUAAUGUGUAAUUUACAUCCUUGAUAGGGAUACAGGGUCAUUAUUGUUAACAGUAAACGGGAGUCUCCUGGUCAAAACGGGAGACUUGAAUUCCUGAAAUUAGGCCUUUUUAGGUCACUAUCUGCAGCGCCCAGUCAAAAAAAGAGACACAUCUAGGAUAAUAAUAUAAAAACAUAUAUAAUAUCUAGGGCUUCUAGAGUUCGGGUUUUAUUUUUGAUCACGUGAUGCACCUUUAAACAUAUUUUGAGCCGAUUCACUUUCUUAAUCAAACACUAAUCACCAAAGGAAGUUGAUUCUUUUUUUUCCCUCCUCAUAUCUUGAUUGAGUUCACAAACGACGUGCAUUGAGCUCCCCUGAUUCUAUUUGUCAUGCUAAAGAAUAACUAAGUGGAGAUCAAUGUAGAGGCCGUUUCUUUGAUGAAACAUUCAUCUGAUGCAGAAACCAUAAGGCAAAAAAUGAAAGAGCCAUUUUUAAUUAUCGCCAGAAAAUAAUUAACAAUCCUGAAAUGCCUGCCGAUUUCCUCACCGUUUUCUCACGGCUUCUUGACACACAAGGCCUGGUAUGUAUGCACAUAGCUUAAUUACAUUUUGUAUAUAAUCCAAUCAGCCUUUAAUUAGGCUGUUUAGAAAAUAAUGAGUAAAGGUGAGCCCAGCAGACUUCGAUAACAGGUAUAGUUAGUGGGUUAAACAAUACAUGUGUGAAUAUGUUUGACCACCAGUGGGUAGGAAUGAUGCAGAGAGCUACUAAUAGUAUUUAGAUUAACUACUAGAAAUCUAGACUGGUGCAAAAUGGUGGAGGGACUUUAUUAAACCUUAACAUCAGCAAUAAACACGUUUAUGGAUCAGAAAAAAAAUAAUAAUUGCAUUCACGUUUCAACACCUGGUUUUAGAUAUGGCUAAUUGGAUUUGCAUAAAAUAUGACUGAAGGGACUAGAGUAAAAUAUCAUCAAAUUAAAUGAGCAUAUAUGAAUAUUUCAUUCAUGGUAAGAAAACAAUACAGUCUCCUCUAUUGUGUGAAUCAGAUGACUAAUUGUGGCAAAUAUAACACUCUGCCAAGGGUGUUCUGACAUUUGGCUUUGACUUUGAAUUCCACAUCUUGCUAAUAGUAUACAGAAGAGAAAAAAAAACAUCUUAUUUAAAAUGCAGAUUGAACUGGACUUUGUGAUGAUGUUUGGAGACCAGUGUUGAGAAUACAGAUGGAGUUUCUCAAAUUCCAGCCAAAGGAAGAAAAAAGGCUGCAGGAAUUUGUCCUGUCCAAGCUGCUGAACAUCCUGUGAAUUUUAAAAAGGCAGGAACUAGUUUGGAAGAGCACUUUCAAAACAUUGACAGAAGUUCCCGACCUUACCUGCUGUCUGUUGGUGCAAAGAAAAACUGUAUCCACCAUUAUUUCAUUAUUGUGAGCAAACGGGCAACGUGUGAGGCUGAAAGCUCCCUGGGAUCAUUUGAUUGUACACUUCUCUGUCAAGCCUGCACACAUUCAUUCAGACUGCAGUCUACAACAUUGAUGUAGGCAACUUUAAAGGAAACCCUUGAGUGAGAGAACUAAGAGCUAGACUAUUCAACUGUAAACAUUUGAAAAGCACACAUGAAGAAAUGUUUGUAAAUAGUUUGAAUAAAAACUUUAAUGACGUUCAUUGUUCAGUACGUGACUUUGAAAAAGAGCCCACUACAAUCUUGACAAUUGAAUGUUCUGUUUCUAAUCGCAAGACUGUGGAUAUGUGUGCUUCUGGUGAUGCAAACAUCAGGUGCAGCUACAGACCACAGGUAUUGAUGAAAUACAAACUAAAAUUCAAGCUUGCUUUGACCAAAUUGAAAACCCUUUCACUUUUUUAAAUUCGGAAACUAAAUGGACUAAUUGUUUCACUCAAAAGUGGGAAAAAAUACUUGCAGUAAGGUUUGACGUACGACGCAACAAAACCACUGGAAACUAUGACCAGAUUCUAGUUACAGACAAAUAUGUCUACCUUCCAAUUCUCAAAACAAUACAAUCUGUUUUAAAAAAAAAUGCAGAUAUUUCUAAAGUGUUUCAGUCAAGUUACAAACAUAGAGAAGGUGUUUAUUAUGAUUUGAAUUAUGGAUCUUACUGGAGGAGGCAUGCUCUUUUUUUUUUCCUGGGAAAAAUAUGCAUUACAAAUUCAACUUUAUUAUGAUUCUUUUGAAAAUGCAAACCCACUAGGAUCUAAACGAGAGAUACACAGAUUGGGCUGCAUAUAUUUUAUUUUGAGAAAUUUGCCUCAUUGAAUUCAGUUCUAAUGAGUAUUCAUUUGGUUGUGCUUUUUCACACACAGGAUGUUAAAACAUACAGGCUUAAUUCUAUAUUGGAGACAGUCAUUAAUGACUUAACAAAUGCUAGACCACUGUAAACAGGUGUUGGAAAAUCCAACAUUGACAUCUGCAUUUGGUGUUAAACAAACUUGCUUGUUAAACUCUUGCAGUAUUUCCAUACAAGCGAAAAUUUUGCAACAGAUAUAAUGUGUAAUAUUCCUGAAGGGGUCGCACAAUACGAGCUAAAACUGGUAUUCAAGUAUCUACUGGAAAACAUUGUUUCUCCUCAAAAACUGCAUGACAGAAUUCAGAGUUACAAUUCUGGGUACUUGGAAAGAAAAAACCGUCCAUCAGGAGCUAAAUUAGAUGACAGCUGUAAUGAUUUAGGCAUAGAUGCUAUUCAGUCUUGGUGUUUACUGUCUACAGCUGUUGACACAGAUUGUAAAUAUUGUGUUCUCUCCGAUCUUAACAGAAGGUAUUACAGUUUCUUGGAAGCGUCUGAUUACAGAACAUCAUAAAUUGUUUACAGUGCUGUUUCCUGAGAUAAAUGUGUUGCUUAAUUUGAGCCGGAUCCUGCCGGAACAGGAUCCGGCACCUCUCAAAUUUGAUUUUUUUUCGUUCCGGCACCUAAUUUGCCCGGAUCCGGUACCUCUCGCGACAUGAUUUAUUAUUUUUCCCACUGUUUGCAUUGUAAAAAAUAUAAUAAAAGCGAUCAGAGUUAAAGUUG